rnacentral:rRNA from 1 species
GAUGAACGCUGGCGGCGUGCUUAACACAUGCAAGUCGAACGGUGAACACGGAGCUUGCUCUGUGGGAUCAGUGGCGAACGGGUGAGUAACACGUGAGCAACCUGCCCCUGACUCUGGGAUAAGCGCUGGAAACGGCGUCUAAUACUGGAUAUGUGACGUGACCGCAUGGUCUGCGUUUGGAAAGAUUUUUCGGUUGGGGAUGGGCUCGCGGCCUAUCAGCUUGUUGGUGAGGUAAUGGCUCACCAAGGCGUCGACGGGUAGCCGGCCUGAGGGGGUGACCGGCCACUCGGGGAGUGAGACGGGGCCGAGACCCACGGGGGGGGGAGGUGGGGGGAAUUGAGAAAAAGGGGCGAAAGCGGUGCAGAGACGCGGCGGGGGGGGGGAGGGGCCCUUGGGGGUGAAACCCUUUUUUCAGGGGGAAAGAGUGAAGGGGAGGUACCUGGAGAAAAAAGCCCGGCUAAACUAGGG